ensembl:lncRNA
GGGAGAUUCUGUUACAGUGAGAUGAUGAGGAACCGGAAGGGAGCCAGAAGGCCCAGCAGGAGCACCAUGCGCCUGGCUCUGAGUGUGAGGAAAGCAGAGGUCAGACUCGCGCUGGGCAGGGACUCCUGAGGCUUCUGGGAGCACGCCCUGCUUAAGCGGAUGCCUGAGUGACAGGGCACUUCCCUGUGGCCCCGAGCUCUAGAGGACAAGGCCAAGGACACACGCAAACCCAGAUCACACGGAAUGGCUCCUCCCAGCAACGCGAGCCUGGGGAGAGACGGCAGCCCUUCCGGACUGCGGGCAGGAAACGCUGAUCCGGGCUACACCAUGGGUGUCCACGCUGCUCAGUGGAGGAAAUCGGACGCAAGAGACCACAGACUCUGUGAGCCCACUGACCCAAAACGUCCCGCGUCGCCGGAUCCACAGACAGAAACUGGGAACCGGCUGGGCAGCGACACUCAGGGCCUCACCCGCAGGCAGCAUCCUGCUCAGCUGGGCCCCGCCUGCCUCCUGCUUCUGUCCAUGAGCCUCAGCCCAGCCCCAGCACAGCAGCGGCCCUGGCCUGGCACACCCUGGCCACAGGCCGCCCCAUCCACCGCAUCUCCCCGGGUGUCCGAGCCUCCUCGCCAGAUGCAGGAAGGCAGCCUGCCUUACCGGCCUGCCCCCACUCCCGGCUCCAGUUUUCUCCACACUGGGCACCGGCAAACACUUGGGAACAUGGUCCUGAUUCCCGGUUUCCUGAAGUCCACGAGGCGAGCUGCGGGGCAGUUAGGCCGCGCGUCACAACCGCGGAGCUCGCUGGCCCCGGAGCCGGGCUCCGCAAGCAGACCUGCGGCGAUGAGAGGCUGUGCAGCCAGCGAAGCCGCUCAGUGCUGCUGGAGAGCCUGCGUGCAGCAGCGAAGACCAAAUAAAUUAAAACUUUUCAAUUAAGAAAAUAAAGAUUGAGGGACAAAUUAAACAAAAAAAUAAGAGCAGUUUUGAUCAACACGCACACAGUAGGGGUCGGGGAGGGCAUGCUGGCCGGGACGCUGGGGACACGCCACAUGGAGAUGGGGCCCCAGGAAAGGAGGUGACCCAACUGUGUUCCUCUCACAACCUCAACAAACUCAAACCCACGGAAACAGAAGGACAAGGCGCCC